rnacentral:rRNA from 1 species
AUGGCGCCCGUAGCACUUGCGCUAUGCUUAUUUGCCACCGUCCUUCUCUCCGCUUCGCCACCCACCCAUGCCUACAUCGGCCACCCAUACUCCCUUCCCCGCCCCAGCCCCGAGGCGGCAGAGCCGACGUCGUCCCCUGAGUACAAGGUCUACAUCAUCAUGCUGAAGCCUCGAGCAAACGCCGAAGCCAUGGACAACGAAGAGCGCCAGCGAUGGUACCGGUCCUUCCUCCCCGACGAGGGAUUCGCCGCCUGGCUGGCGAAGGAGGAGCUGGAAGCCGCGUCUAAGAAACCCGGCUUCGGGCGCUGGUUCCCGGACAGGAUCAGUUACCCGGCCGUCGAAUAA